GACGAACGCUGGCGGCGUGCUUAACACAUGCAAGUCGAACGGAAAGGCCCUGCUUUUGUGGGGUGCUCGAGUGGCGAACGGGUGAGUAACACGUGAGUAACCUGCCCUUGACUUUGGGAUAACUUCAGGAAACUGGGGCUAAUACCGGAUAGGAGCUCCUGCUGCAUGGUGGGGGUUGGAAAGUUUCGGCGGUUGGGGAUGGACUCGCGGCUUAUCAGCUUGUUGGUGGGGUAGUGGCUUACCAAGGCUUUGACGGGUAGCCGGCCUGAGAGGGUGACCGGCCACAUUGGGGCUGAGAUACGGCCCAGACUCCUACGGGGGGCAGCAGUGGGGAAUAUUGCACAGUGGGCGGAAACCUGCUGCAGCAACGCCGCGUGCGGGAUGACGGCCUUCGGGUUGUAAACCGCUUUCGCCUGUGACGAAGCGUGAGUGACGGUAAUGGGUAAAGAAGCACCGGCUAACUACGUG
rnacentral:rRNA from 1 species